UUCUUGCCCUCUUGGGUAAGCCGUGUUUCCCAGAAUGCUCUUCACAGCAGAGCUUCCGGUUGGAGUGGGUGGAAGAGGAAGCUGAGGAGGUGGAAGGCGGAAGCGUCAGCGGCCAGCCGCUCUUCUCUUGAGGAGGAGCUCCUGCAAACCAGGAUGCAGCCGUUGGCCCAGCCCUGCCCGUGGAUCCUCACACCCCCACCUGAGAUGUUCCUGGGUUAGAAUCACCUGCUGCAUUUGGUUGUCACAUCUCUUUGGUUUCCUUGGUCUACAACCAUUCCUCGGACUUUCUUUGAAUUUCAUGACCUUGAUGUUGUGAAGAGGACCAACCAACCGCUUUGUAGAAUGUCCCCAGUGGGAUCUUGUCUGGUGACAAGGCUCAGGUUCACAUCUUCAGCAGGAACACUGUAGACCUGAUGCUGUUUCUUCCAGCAGAUUUUUAAAGCCCUGCUCCUAUUACUGCGUUCCUGCCCCAUGAGCACUGUGUGGAGGCCCAGCCUCCCACUGCCCCUCCCCGGGCGUACUCCAAUGUGUUCAUACCCAUGGAAGAGUGUGGCGCCCAAACCGCGUUCCUGCCCAGCGGGCUAGGAUGUCACAACGGAAGCCUUCCCUGACUUCUUUCUUCACCUGGCUUCUUUCUGAUGCACAUGCUGGGCGCCACCACUUUCACUUCUGUGUUAUCUCCUGGGCACAGCUGAGCUGCGAGCAGCCCCACUGACCCUCAGCCUGUGACACACAGGGGCCCACAGAAAUGGUUUCAUUUGAAUUUGUUUUAACUCAGAAGAAAAGAAUAAUAAUAAAUAUGAAUCUGACCUGUGUUCAGAAGUCCGGUGUUAAAUACGUAUUUUCAAGCAUUUCCUGAGGGAAGAAGGGGCAUGUGAAGUCAAAGUGUCCAAGGCCCACAGGAGUCCACGUGUGGCCCGGCUGGAGUGUUGCACCUGUGCCUUGUGUGCCCCCGGGCCUGGCAUAGUCUCAGGCCUCACCCCAGCCCCUAGCACAUAGUAGCUGCUUGGAAAACCCAUCUAUGUCACAGGACCAGUAGUCAGAAGGCCCAUGGGACCCCCUAAGAAGCAGGCCAGUGUCUUUCCUGCCCAGCUUUGCUUCUGUCUGUAAGACAUGCCUACACAGCAUCACAUUUGGCACUUAGAAUCCUGGUGGGAGAGAGUUGGUUGGGAUCAUUCAUCUGUUCCACAACAGUUGAGCCACUCUGUGUGGACAAGAGCCCUCACAGAGGGUCUUGGAGAGGGCCAAAAGCCCUGAGUGUGGGAGUACAAUUUGGAAUCUGCCCACGUAACAUGCACUCUCUACAGAGACGUUCUAAUCAGAGUGCCAAAAGGCCCAUGUCCCCAGGAAGCCAGCAGCCUCUCUCCACAGGUGGGGAAGUCUGUGUGUUCAGGCUCACACAGGGGCCAAGGGCAAAGACAGCCUCUCCAGGGAAGACCUCUCGGUUUGCUGGCAGGGCACGGCUGGAGGAUGGCCAGCAACGCAGGUGGCUCUGUGAGUCUCUGGAUUCCACGAACCCUUCUUCUGAACCCCACCUGGCCUCCCUACCUCCCGCCCACACACACACUCCCAGCUGCCUUUCUCAACAUCCCCCAGGUUCACCCAUGGGAGGCCCGGGGCUGGGCCUGCCUCGAGUCAUGCAGAUAACCUCUCCAGGGAUGUGUAAACCUCUGGUGGGCGGCCGGGUAGAAGAAUGUGGAAGUGGAUUCCUUUCGCUCCAAGCCCUGGACAUCUGCCAGACUGUGUCAAAGUUGCAGUGGCCGCAGGCCCUUUGCAUCCUCAUCUGCGAGUGCCCCAGUGUUUCCUCAGUGCGAUGACACCUCAGACCUCAACAAAGAGCACUUCUGGAAAGGCCUCAAUCCCACACGCUCUCUGCACGCGCCUGUCCCGAGUCCCACACUCUCCCUGGCUCGCUGCCCACAAGCUAGGGGUUGCCAUUGCCAGCUGUGGCCAGCCCUGCCUCCCGAGGAGUGUUAACAGCGGUACCUCUGGGAGGUUUGCUGUGGAGACGAGUGAUUUAAAUUUAAGAGAAGGGCAUGGGGGAGCUUGUUAGAAAGCCUCAUGGUGAUAAAAAGAUAUUUGUUUUAUCCUACUCUUUAGAGAACCAAAUCUUAGCAAAAUAGCGCUGGGCUUGAAAUUCAGCAACACUUCCUUCCCCUCAGCAACAAUUUGUUUCAAGGCUUAAAAAAAGAAAAUCUCUUCCCAGAAACUGGUCGAAGAAUCAAGCAGAAUUGCGCUGAAGCUCUGUGCAAACCAAGGGUGUGGAAGUGGCAGCAGAGGAUCGCAAUCCACCCGACGUGUCCUCAGCUCAGAGGACACGGGCAAAGCGGGCACAGGGAUCACACGGAUGUCUGUAGACCCUGCCAUCUGCCCGCAUGCCGGGUACAGCCAGCUGUUGCCAUAUUUAUCCAGUUCUUCAUGUUGCCAUUCGCCUGUUCUGCUUAACCCAGGGGAAGAGCCAGGAUGCUCGCUGGAUGUGUAUGCGAUUGUGGAAACGAGACUGUGCCGUUGACUCACAUGAUACUUUUCUGUGGCCAGUGUGCAUGUGUACACACACGUGUGCACGCUCCUAGCUCUGCUCCACGGUGGCCUUCCUCCUGCAGCCUUCUCCUCGGUCCUCCACCCAGCUGCACUCCUGCUUCUCCAGGUCAACAGGGAUCCUCUUCUCUGGGACUGAUGGCCUUCCGUCUCACAUGAGAAUUCCGUGAGCAGGUGCAGACCCCUCAGUCAUAAGGAGAGAGUUGGGAGCUCCCUUCACACUAACAAAGAAGAAUGAAGGAGUCAAAACCUCUUGGAGUCAGAGGCACUGAUAGGACCUCCUCACGGGACCCUUGUGAGAAUCUGGUGCCUAUGGCUGGGCCCUGACCUGGGCCCAUGCUCUGUAGAGAUUUGAUGAGCUGUGUACCGGCAGGAAAGAAAAUGCCCGGGGUAACCUGGCAGCCAAAGCUUCUUCCCAUAACACCCCUGAGACUGGACACAUGGGGAGAUUUUGAGGGCCAGCCAAGGACUGUGGAAAAUGGGAGCUGGACCCAUCACUUAUCUGGUAUCGAGUCAGCUAACAAUUUAUUUAUUGUUGGGUUCUUAAUCUUAUCAUUGGAUCCUAAAUGUAAGCCUGAGUGUUCACUGACUGUGAGUUGGAAAACAUCUCAGAAGUUCAUCUUCUCACCUCACCCAGGCAUUGCCCUGAUAGAUGACCACUUAGCCCCUCGUGUGCUGCUGGCCCCAGGAUUCCCAUGUGGACACAGUGAGGAGGAGCAAGUGCGUUCCCGUGUCAGCCUGGAACCUGUCCCCCUGCCCCACUGGUGGCCCACAUCUCUCCUCCAGGACUUUGCGACUGCUGCUCCUCUUCCCAGGGAGGCUCUGAGUUCUGGGAAAGCAGCACUCCUACCCUCACCUCCCACAUCCCAACAGAGAAAAUCCUAGAAAAGGGAAAAAAAGUCUUUCCCUUAUUAUCAUUUAAACGAACUCAUAGGAAGUAUGUACAUCUUCUCUUCUCUGGCAAGAUGGCCCACAUUUGUCCCCAAAUCCUGGGUCCUCAGGCUCCAGGGUCACAUCCCCCAAUGCCUGUGUAAAGCCAGUCAGCACGUUUGUCCCACUGCCAUCUUGUCCAGUUCUUUCAACAUGAGAAAAAGCCCCUUCCUAACAAAGGAACAGGAAAGAAUCCAAGUGGGGUUAUAGAACAGGGCUCCCCCUCCCCAUGGGCAAGCAUGACUUGACUCCCUAGGACUCAGUUUCCCCAUUUGUGCAAAGGACCAAGUGACAUCAGAUGGCCUUUCCAAAAGUAAGAUGUAGGCAAAGAAAAUGGAUGUGGUGUCUCUGGGCAGAGAUGCCUGAUACCCCAGAGUUUCCAUGGCGACUGCCUUCCCCAUCUCCAAAAUUGCCCUUCUGCUUGGGCUGGCCCUGCCCUGCUCUUCCCCGGGCCAACUCCUCUCAUCCCGCUCCCAGGCGCUCUCCUCCCAGUGCUGGUGGACACCGAGAGAUUCUUUUAUUCCAUUUGAUUUCUUCGUGAGUCUGUUUCUACUGGCAGGUGUCAGCCCCUUGAGGACAGCAACUCAGUCUGUCUUGUUUACUCCUGCAUCCCUGGUCCCCAGCACAGGAUCUGGUGCCUGUCGAGAGUGAAUAGAGGCUGAAUGAACAAAUGAAGGAGUCUGCAGACCUGGUUGGCAGUUCCCCAUGGACCCUGUCCCUCCUGUGAGCCAUUUCUUUCUCUUGUGCCUUCCGCUGCCCCUCUGCCUCCCGUCUCUCCUCCCUUCUGAUCACCUCAGUCACCUAUAUUCCAGCUGCCAGAUGUUUCGUGCCUCCUCACACCUCUCCUCCUUUCUACCUGUCCCUUGCCAGCACCAACAUGUGCCCUGCCAGCACUACCUCAUGAAGCCCACCCAGAUAGUUCAGGGGGCUCUCUGACCCUUCAAACAUCUAACUCCUUAUCUGCCAGUUCACUGCCAUUCUUGAAGUGUACCCAUGCAUGAGUUCCUGGCUACGACCUCUGAAGAAGGCAGGGCAGGUAACCAUAAAAACAAAGCUCACAGGACCAGCGCUGUGGCACAGUGGGUUAAAGCCCCAGCCUACAGUGCUGGCAUCCCAUAUGGGCACUGGUUCAAGUCCUGGCUGCUCCACUUUCAAUCUAUCUCCCUGCUAAUGCUCCUGGGAAAGAAGUGGAGGAUGGCCCAAGUGCUUAGGGUUCUGCACCCACAUGGGAGACCUGGAAGAUGCUCCUGGCUCCUGGCUUCAGAUUGGAUCGGCUUGGCUCAGCUCAGCUCUGGCCAUUGCAGCCAUUUGGGAAGUGAACCAAUGGAUAAAAGACUUUCUCUCUCUCUCUUUCUCUCUCACUCUCUUUCUCUCUGUGUGUGUGUGUCUGUAUGUGUGUGUCUGCCUCUCUCUGUAACUGUCUUUCAAAUAAAUAAAAAUAAAUCUUUUUUAAAAAUCCACACAACUCGCUGUGCCAGAUAUACAGUGCUCCUAGACCCAUUUUACUGAUAACAGUAACUGAGGAUCAAAGUCUUCAAUACAUAGAGCAACUGAGCUAGUAGGUGCACGUUGUCCCCUGACUGCCCAUCUGGUUUCCCUGCAUUGCAUGAACUCCACCCUGGCUGUUGACUGUUUUAACUUCUGUUAUAAAACAUGCUUUUUCAAGCACAAACCAAUGAGAAUAGCACAGUGGGCAUCUAGAUGCCAUUUUCAGGCCCAGUGUUUUAGCCCCUCACUAAUAGCUAUUAUUCUGCUUACCAGGGCGAGUUUGUGUGUUUGCUUCCAGCACCUUGAAGGUGAAGGGUCGAGUUAACCACCCUCCUGUCUCCAGAGUCACCACCACUGUUGGUCCAUGCUGCCUGAUUAUGCACAGGCGUUUUCUCGCUUCCCUUUUAUCUUCGCUCUCCCAUCUCUAACUCACACACACACACACACACACACACACACGCACGUUCUUUAGACUUGAAGUCCAUUUUGAAAAAAUGCAAUCAUAAUUGUGUGUAUGUACAUUUAUUGUGAUAAAAUACACGUAAUGUGAAGUUUACCAUUUUAAUCAUUGCUAGGUGUACAGUUCAGUGGCAUUAAAUGCUUUUAUGAUGUUGUGUAACCAUCACCACUACCCAUCUCUGAAGCUUUUCUGUCACCCCAAAUAGCAGUUCUAUACCCAUUAAUAGCUCCCUAUUCACCCACUCCCCGCUCACAGGCAGCACUACUCUCCUUUCUGUCUCUGUGAAUUUGUCUGUUAGAGUAUCUCAUACAAGUUAGAAACGUGCCAGGGGAUUCCAAUUCAAUCCCAUCAAGGUGGCAUGUACCAAUGCCAUGUCACUAGUCAAAGCGAUCAGUUUCAGUUCACAGUUGAUCAUAAUGAUAGGAUUAAGAGUCAAAGGGGCCGAUGCCACAACUCACUAGGCUAAUCUUCCGCCUGCGGUGCCAGCACCCCGGGUUCUAGUCCCGGUUGGGGCACCGGAUUCUGUCCCAGUUGCCCCUCUUCCAGUCCUGUUCUCUGCUGUAGCCCAGGAAGGCAAUGGAGGAUGGCCCAAGUCCUUGGGCCCUGCACCUGCAUGGGAGACCAGGAGGAAGCACCUGGCUCCUGGAUCAGCGCAGC